CAUCCAGCAUAAUAUACUGGAGUUCGGUGCACCUAUGUAUGAACUUCCAGCAUAUUAUGCUGGACCGG
rnacentral:pre_miRNA from 1 species